AGUUGAAGCAUAUGUCCUGUGAGCUUAGGGGUGCUACAGGUUGACCACUGCAGCAGUAAAGAUGACUCUGAAGAAUGGCAUGGGAUGGAUCCUUUCGAAUGCACUUGAGCAGCGGUCUCCAACCACAGGGCCACAGAGCUGGAGGUGAGCAGCAGCUGGAUCUACCAUGAACGACUUCUGAAUCCAGGAAGAGAGACUGACUGGGCAACAUGUUAUUCAGGGUCUCCCUCUGUUGUCCAAGGCUGGAGUGUAGUAGUGCUAUCACAGCUGACUGCAGCCUCAACCUUCCAGGCUGAAGCGAUCCUCCCAUCUCAACCUCCCACGUGGCUGAGACUAUAGGUGCUUGCCACUAUGCCCAACUAAUAUUUGGAAUUUUCCUAUACGUGGAUUCCAGAGGGGUGACAGUGAAAC
rnacentral:lncRNA from 1 species